rnacentral:rRNA from 1 species
GCCUACGGGGCGCAGCAGUAGGGAAUAUUGCUCAAUGGGGGAAACCCUGAAGCAGCAACGCCGCGUGGAGGAUGAAGGUUUUCGGAUUGUAAACUCCUUUUGUUAGAGAAGAUAAUGACGGUAUCUAACGAAUAAGCAUCGGCUAACUCCGUGCCAGCAGCCGCGGUAAUACGGAGGGUGCAAGCGUUACUCGGAAUCACUGGGCGUAAAGAGCGCGUAGGCGGGAUAGUAAGUCAGAUGUGAAAUCCUAUGGCUUAACCAUAGAACUGCAUUUGAAACUGUUAUUCUAGAGUAUGGGAGAGGUA